CUACAUGUAAGAAAGUUUUGGCAGAUCUUUUAACAAUGCAAGGUCAAAAUAAGUCUCAUGUCCAUCAAAAUUUCAUAACCUGGAGUUUUGUACUUGCAAAAAUAUUAACUAUCAAACAUCAUCACAACAACCUGAAGAAAAAAGUUGGUUCUCAUUGACAUAUCAACAAGCAUGUACAGAGUACAUAAUCAGAACUUGUUCUCUACAUCAACUUCACACUAUGGUGCCCAUCAGUAGCUGAGAGAGGUAGGGAGAGGUUCCUGUUGGAGCAGGGCUCAUCAGAAGAUGACCGACUUUUCUGCCCUGGCCUCUUGGAGCACUGGACGAACGAGAGGCGGGACUGUUGCAAGCUGCUCUUGCUGAUGGCUUCAGGUGGACUAUCGCGACGCUCGGUGAGCAGGCGAGCAUCCACGUAGUUGGGCAACGCCGCUCAGCUCAUUAUAGUGAGCAGAAGUAGUUUACUAAUAGUAGCAGUAGCAGCUUGUGCUUUGAGAACAAGAAGCCAUGAAGUGGAGAGAGGGCUUGAGGCCUGCGACUCCUGCUCCAUUUUUCUUUUGCAUUUUUUCCUGAAGGAUUUCUGAAACUGAAACCAACAUAUCAAAACCCCAGUUUUUUGCUUGCACUGAUACUAUUGAACUUCAGAAAAAUAGAAUAGAACUAGAACUAGACAACACAAUUUUAAACUGAAUAAUGGGGAUAGAUAAUAUUGUGAAGGACGUAUGCGCCGAACUAUUGUUUACAUGGCUGGUGAACCUUGGUCAAAGCUAAAGUGGAAUUGGCAGAACAUACAAACAUACAUACACACAUAUAUGGAGGGAGAAAUUAUAGGUGCACACACUUAGUAAUACACGAACCUUCUGGGUUAGUAAUACAUGAACUUCUUUGUAUAGACUUUUUUCUCACGUUCACAUGCACAUUUGUUUCUCAAAACAAAAGAUCAACAAAAUUUGGCAAAAAUGGAAACAUGCACGCAUAUAUAAGUGGUUGGGCAAAACAACAAACUGCGUGUAUAUGGCAAUGGAAAGCCGCAGCUAACUCUCAAGAAGCGGAGAGGUGCCUGAGGAGGUGGACAGCGACUAGCACCCGAGUCUUUUUGUGUGCUCUGUUUUUGUGGUGAUAACAGGAAGAGAAGGUGUCGCGGCUGGGGAUGGCAACUAGUAGAAAUGAGCCAGAAAACUAUUCCACGGAGACAGUGCAGCCAUUAGCCUACUGACCAACUACUUUUAAUAUACAGAUUCACAAACAUUCUACCUGCUAUAAUUUUUUAGUGCACAGAAUUGGUUAAUGAACACAUUGGCCCGCUGAAUAAUCAAACAUUGGACUGCAGUAUAUUACACUUACGGUGAUACAUAAUCAGUUCAACUUGUUGAGGUAUAGAAAAACUUUAGGUUGUUUUACCUACACAAUAACAGACACCUUUGAGAGCAGAAUUUUACAAUGGCAGGGUGGCCUCGACGCAGAUGGACCUCGAUGAAAAAAGAUGGAUGCCCUAUCACAGGGCCCUGCAAAAUAUACAUAGUUAUAGUCCACUUAAUGAUCUUCAGAAAAUCAACACACUGAACUUCUGGAGGACCAGAUGCUGACCUUUUUUUGUUCGCACCGCUGGUGCUGACCUGUAAUUGAAGAGAGACCAGAUGCAUCUAGGGGAGAAAGAACGGUAUGGGUGUUGUAGGGAGCAGGACAUUCGCCGUGUGGGGGAGAAGGGAGGCCGAGGCAGAGCGGGAGUAGCCAUUGUACUGUUUGGAGAAGGAAUCCAUCGGCGAUUGGGCAGGUCAGCCAUAGAAGCUCAGGCAGAUGUGGAUCAGGGUCGAGGAAGACGGCCACCACCUCGAUGGGCUGUAGCGGCUGGUGCAGGCCAUCUAUGGAGGAGGUGCGGGCUGCAGCGGCGGGGAGGGACCGCGCCGGUCGCAGAGGAGAAUUGGCAGGCGUGUGUCGGCCGUGGGGAGGGAGCACGCCAUCCGGGGAGGGAGCUCGCCAGCCGCAGGGAGGGAGCGUGCCGGCUGGGGAGGGAGCAUACCGACCGCGGGGAGGGAGCGCGCCGGCCGAGGAGUGAGCGUGCUAGCCGCGGGGAGGGAGCGCGCCGGCCGCAGGGAGGGAGCGCGCUGGCAGGG
rnacentral:lncRNA from 1 species